UGGUGUCUCUGAGUAGGGGCUGUAGA
rnacentral:piRNA from 1 species